CGACAUCCCUGCCCGACGGACGGUCGAACGGCGUCGCUGCUCAACUCACCUCGUAUUUUGCAGAAAUCCAGCUUUCCCGCUUCGCUUUCGAGCCAUGGGUCCCAAAAUGAAAUGCGCCGCAUUAAUACUCUUCUGUACUCUGUCCUUUGCUGUGUUCACCACCCAAGUUGGUCUCAUGUGGCAACUCAUCCAAAUUGAUCCAAGGUACCAGCUCGACAGAUUUGAACCUGAUCGUGCAGUCAAGAAUGCUACUCAUCCCGACCGCUGGGUGGAUUACUCCAUCCGCCGACUCGCAACACAAUCAGCGUUGCAGCAAGACCUAAUGAUGAUUUCUGUUUCUCUCGCAAACAUCUCUAUUUGCGGGACUCUUUUGGUGGCAAAGAUUUUCCCACUUUACGUGGAAUAUCUUGUGCGUCUGCAGAACAAGAACCAGGCUGCUUUUGCUUAAUUCGGCGGCA